rnacentral:rRNA from 1 species
CCUACGGGAGGCUGCAGUGGGGAAUAUUGCACAAUGGGCACAAGCCUGAUGCAGCCAUGCCGCGUGUGUGAAGAAGGCCUUCGGGUUGUAAAGCACUUUCAGCGGGGAGGAAGGCGGUGAGGUUAAUAACCUCAUCGAUUGACGUUACCCGCAGAAGAAGCACCGGCUAACUCCGUGCCAGCAGCCGCGGUAAUACGGAGGGUGCAAGCGUUAAUCGGAAUUACUGGGCGUAAAGCGCACGCAGGCGGUCUGUCAAGUCGGAUGUGAAAUCCCCGGGCUCAACCUGGGAACUGCAUUCGAAACUGGCAGGCCAGAGUCUUGUAGAGGGGGGUAGAAUUCCAGGUGUAGCGGUGAAAUGCGUAGAGAUCUGGAGGAAUACCGGUGGCGAAGGCGGCCCCCUGGACAAAGACUGACGCUCAGGUGCGAAAGCGUGGGGAGCAAACAGGAUUAGAUACCCGAGUAGUC